rnacentral:rRNA from 1 species
UACGUAGGGGGCAAGCGUUGUCCGGAUUUAUUGGGCGUAAAGAGCGUGUAGGCGGCUUUACAGGUCCGUUGUGAAAACUCGAGGCUCAACCUCGAGACGCCGGUGGAAACCGUAAAGCUAGAGUCCGGAAGAGGAGAGUGGAAUUCCUGGUGUAGCGGUGAAAUGCGCAGAUAUCAGGAGGAACACCCGUGGCGAAGGCGGCUCUCUGGGACGGUACUGACGCUGAGACGCGAAAGCGUGGGGAGCAAACAGG